rnacentral:rRNA from 1 species
GACGAACGCUGGCGGCGUGCUUAACACAUGCAAGUCGAACGGAAAGGCCCUGCUUUUGUGGGGUGCUCGAGUGGCGAACGGGUGAGUAACACGUGAGUAACCUGCCCUUGACUUUGGGAUAACUUCAGGAAACUGGGGCUAAUACCGGAUAGGAGCUCCUGCUGCAUGGUGAGGGUUGGAAAGUUUCGGCGGUUGGGGAUGGACUCGCGGCUUAUCAGCUUGUUGGUGGGGUAGUGGCUUACCAAGGCUUUGACGGGUAGCCGGCCUGAGAGGGUGACCGGCCACAUUGGGACUGGGAUACGGCCCAGACUCCUACGGGAGGCAGCAGUGGGGAAUAUUGCACAAUGGGCGGAAGCCUGAUGCAGCAACGCCGCGUGCGGGAUGACGGCCUUCGGGUUGUAAACCGCUUUCGCCUGUGACGAAGCGUGAGUGACGGUAAUGGGUAAAGAAGCACCGGCUAACUACGUG